GAUGAAUGCGUGUAACAGGCCUAACACAUGCAAGUGGAAUGCUUAUGCAUGCAAAACUUAGUUUUGCACGGCAUGGGCAUCGCGAACGGGUGAGUAGUACACAAGAAUCUACCACACAGACUGGGAUAAGAUACGAUUGUGUGUUUUGCUUUUGAGCAACCUUGAAAGUGCAAUGCAUGAUUUGUGAAUACCGGAUAACCACUCAGGUCUUUUUUAUUCUAAACAAUAUCUGUUUUGGGAUAGGCAUAGACCGCUGUUUGAUGAGCUUGUGCGGGAUUAGGUAGUUGGAAGGGUAAUAGCCUCCCAAGCCUUUGAUCUCUAACUGGUCUGAGAGGAUGAUCAGUCACACUGGAAUUGAGAACGGUCCAGACACAUUUUAGUGGCAGCAGUGAGGAAUCUUAGACAAUGAACGAAAGUUUGAUCUAGCCUUGUUACGUGGAGGAUGAAGGCUCUUCUGGUCGUAAACUCCUUAUCGUAGUUGGGUAGUUUGCAAAACUAUGUUUUGCAUACAAGAAUGCCCUGG
rnacentral:rRNA from 1 species